GUGUCCCAAUUACACCGAUGUUACUCUCACAUCACUCCCACAACAUUAUGGAUGUACAGAUGAUUGCAACAUAACGCGAGAACCACUUGAUGGAAUGUAUUAGGUGGCGACCUCUACAGUGCGUGACUUAAGACUGAGGGUCGCUUCAGGGUUGCCGGGUUGCAGUUUCAACUCUAGGAGAACCCAUAUAUUAUUAGUGAGCUUGAGCGACUGAUACAACAUAUCCUGACCUUCGACGUUUCUCUUGGCGAUAGUGAAGAUAUUAUUGAGGGUCAUUUUCUGCGCGAUGGAGUCUGCGGUACCGAUGACGUUGGAAAUUGUGUGUUGCACUUCGUUAGCUGCAGGAAUUUCCUUCCAAGUGGUUAAGAAGACACGCUUGUCGAGCUGUCCGUCCUCAGUGAAGAGGAUGUGUGCAGGAAUGAGACACGCGAAGUAGAAAACGUCGAUGUUGUUUUUUACCGCCACCUAGAAACAUGUCAAAAUUAUAUAAUCGAAUAUAGCAUAUUUAUAAGUUUUGA